GAAAUUUUGGGACUUAAGGGACCCCUUCCGUCCGUUGCGGGAGUAUCAUGUAGGCUCGGGAGUUCAUAUAUGCAGUGUGGACUGGUUGCCAGAGCCAAGAUUUAUUGUAAUAUCAUGUGAUGAUGGGACACUAAAGAUCCUUGGCUUGUCGAAGGCUGCAUAUGAUGCACCUGUCACAGGAAACCUUUUAGUUGGAACUAAAC
rnacentral:misc_RNA from 1 species